rnacentral:rRNA from 1 species
AUUGAACGCUGGCGGCGUGCUUAACACAUGCAAGUCGAUCGGUAACGCGGGGGCAACCCUGGCGACGAGAGGCGGACGGGUGAGGAACGCUUGGGAAUCUGCCUAUCAGCGGGGGACAACACGGGGAAACUCGUGCUAAUACCGCAUACGCUCUACGGAGGAAAGCCGGGGACCGCAAGGCCUGGCACUGAUAGAUGAGCCCAAGCCGGAUUAGCUAGUUGGCGGGGUAACGGCCCACCAAGGCGACGAUCCGUAGCUGGUCUGAGAGGACGAUCAGCCACACUGGGACUGAGACACGGCCCAGACUCCUACGGGAGGCAGCAGUGGGGAAUAUUGGACAAUGGGGGAAACCCUGAUCCAGCGACGCCGCGUGGGUGAAGAAGGCCUGCGGGUUGUAAAGCACUUUAAGCGAGGAGGAGGCUACUUGGAUUAAUACUCUAGGAUAGUGGACGUUACUCGCAGAAUAAGCACCGGCUAACUCUGUGCCAGCCGCCGCAGUAAGUC